ensembl:lncRNA
UCUCUUAGUGACCUGCAUUACAUUCACUGUGAAAGGGAAAGACAGAGAGAUAACAUGCAUGCGUACUUCUCAGUGACGACAGUCAUUCUGGCUAACAGAUUGGCACAGCAGGUAUAUGUCAAACCAAUAUAAAGGGGAACUACAGAAUGCUAAAGAUAAUCACUGAAUUUAUCAGAGCAUUACAUCAUGGUCUUUUUUUUUUUCCUUUUUUUUUCCAGUCACGAACACAGCAAUAGCUUUGGCUUCAUUACUCAGCUCUGAAAUUAAAUGGGGCAAGAGAGAGACUCACUCUCUUCAAUAUAAAGGGAAAAGUAAACAUGUCUUUCUACCCUGAAAGCCUACUUGACCCAGUUCACGGCCAGCACCCAGAUAUGAGAGCAUGAUAGAAGAUAAAGGAGGGAGAAAUGAAGGUAGAAAGCAGGUCUAUCUUACAUUGGCUGCAGACAAACUUCAUGUUUUGCCAAUUAAAUGUGAAGUCUUUCCCUCCAAACAAAUUUCUCUUUUGCAAGACAUUUUGAAACAUCUGAACUUCUUGAUAAAUAGGAGUCGUGUGGAUUAAAGGAGUUUGGAUCUCUAGGAAGUUUCCUUUUGCUCAUGAAGAAAACAAAAAAAUGGAAACUGGAGAGACCAACUGAAUUCACAGACACAAUGAACAGUGCUCAAAGGAAAGAGAUGUGCAGCAGUAUAACACAUCUUGCUUUACUACCAAGUAUGUUGCAGAAAGCCAAGGUAAGAACUGGGAGAAAGAAGAUCUGCCCACUCUAAGUGAAGGUCAUGUUCGAGACCAUCUAAAGAACACGAAGGUUAACAAGUCCAUGGGACCCAAUGAGAUCCAUUAACAUGUUCUCAAGGAACUGGCAGAUGAUUUUGCCAAGCUGCUAUCCAUCAUAUUUGAAAAGUCACGGCUGUCUGGUAAAGUUCCCACUGAUUGGAAGAGGGGAAGCAUAAAGCCUGUUUUCAAGAAGGGAAAAAAAGAAAAUCCAGGACAGUACAGGCCAGUCAGUCUCACCUUUGUGCCUGGAAAGAUCACGGAGCAGAUCCUCC